rnacentral:lncRNA from 1 species
AUCUGAUGACUCAUCAGUCACCGUGGGCGUCUCCGGAUGGAACCCUGAACAUUUAUUCAGAGGGUGCUUUUGCCAGUUUCUGAACGACUCCUAGUAAGUCCUGCCUUUUGGGGAUUGUUUUAACCCCAUGGAGAUUGGGGGUUUGAAGACUCAGUGGGUUCCUGUCUGAAGGCCUCUGGGGGCUUAAAAAGUCCAGUGGGGCUUUGGGGAACUGGCUCCAGGUAAGCCUGUGAACGCAGAGGAAUGCAUUCUCAAACUGAGGGCUUGAGUGGUCUCUCCUUGGUCAUCUGUCCAUCUAAGUACCUGGCUGGCCCCAGAUUGCCCCUGGAAGUGGGGCUUGGGAGAUGUUAGCUCCUUUCAGGAGCUGCAGGGCUCCUCCCAUGUAUUUUCUGUGGGGCAUCAAAGACCCAGGGCUGGCUUUGGAGCUGGGUUUAAUGUAGGCUGCUCUGCUCACCAACUCCACCAUCCUGGGCAAGUCCCUUCUGCUCUCUGGGUUUCCGUUUCCUCCUCUGUGCAAUGCAGUCAAUACCAUUGUGGCCGUCUGGUUCUGAGGGUUGGAGGAGGUGCCGUCUGUAACAACUGUUAUUACUGUGCAGCCCAGGGGCCCCAUCACUUCGGUUUUCUCAGAAGCAGCUUCUGAGACGCGGAUUCGUGUGGAAGCAAUUUAUUAAGGAAGUGCUCCCAAGAAACACGGAAGGGUAUGGAAGGGCAGGACCAAGAAGGGGAGGAAGCCAGUUUCAGACAAAGUCCCUCUGCAGAAGGGUCUUAGUCCAUCCAGGCUGCUGUAACACGGUACCACACGCGGGGGGGCUGAUAAACCACAGACACGUACUUCUCAUGGUUCUGGAGGCUGAGAGGCCGAGAUCAGGGUACCAGCACGGUCGGGUUUGGGGGAGGGCCCUCUUCUGGGCUGUAGAUUGCCAACUUUUCCUUGUGCCCUCACAUGGCAGAGACAGGGAGAGAGAGCUCUCUGGGGUCGCUUUUUAUAAGGGCACUGACCCCCUUCAUGAGGGCUCCAUCCUCAUGACCUCAUGACCUCCCAAAGGAGGAGCUCUGGAGGGCAAGUGUCAACUCAGAGCCUGUCCUGACUCCAGGCAAGAGCACUGUACCUGCAUGCUCCCUUGCACCAGCUAGGAGCUACCGUGAGUGUGGGGAUUGAAACUCCUGGGUACUUCUGGCUCUGAGGGGGAUGUGCCCCGGGCGGGCCUGCAAAGAGUCCCAGGCACAGGCUGUGGGAAUUAGGAGAGGGGAAGCUAUAUGGGGUGGGGGAAGGAGCCCGAGGGGAUGUGGGUGAAGCAUCUAGAGUGUCCCCACCACCCCUUUGCUUAUCUGUCCUCCCACCAGAGGGGGCCAGGCCAGCACCCCUGUAUGGAUGGGACUGGGGCCGGGGAAGGAGGCUGGAGUCAGGAGGAGAGGCACCACCCAGGCCUUACUCUUCAUAUGGGUGGAACCAUCCCAUGAACAAGUGGGAUGAGGAAGCCUGAGGAGCUUUUGGCCAAGCUUAGCCUCUGGGGGUGCCCAACACUGGGCACGGAUAGGGCUGGGGCACAGACCCAAUAUUCCAGUACCUCCAAGUCUUUUGUCCGGCACCCAGGCUAGGGGCCCUGAAGAUGCUUCACUGUCCAGCGGGAUGGGGUUGGGGAAAUAUUUUUGUUCUCUUCAGCUCAGUAGCCUUCUUCCUUCCUUUCAUCACCUUGUCUAAGACUGGCCGGGUCUUUUCUCAAGGUCACCCCAGGAACCAGGGUUCCUUGGGUUCUGUCGCCAGCUCUGGGCACCUCUCCACCAUGGGCCACCUGGCUCUUUCAUUUUCUUACUUCCAACUUCCACCUUCUCUUCUGCAGCAUUGAGCUGCUUUUCUCAGCCUCUCUGGACUUAAAGCAACUUGGCCCAAAGGCUGCCAGUUGCCCUUUCUCAACCCUCCAAUGCUUCUGUGCCCUCUACCAGGGAUGGGGCUGUGGAAUCCAGAGCACACCCGGUUGCCUUCCCUAAAUUUCCAUUCACCAGCAAAGAUGAGUUUAUUUUCCACUGUCAGGAAUUCAGAGUUUGAAUGAUUUUACCACUGCUCUGUUCUUGGUGCAGCUGGGAUUCUAUUUAUCACUGGGUUAGGAAUUUCACUUCCUGCCUUUUCCAUCCCAGAAGAAUUCUCUCCCCUCCCCUCCCUUCCUCUUCUCUCUUUCCCCCUUCUCUCCUUUCCUCUUUUCCCUUCUCCUCUGCCUGCUUUUCCAUCCCUCUCCCCUUCUCCUCUCCUUCCCCACCCUCCUCUUCCCCCCUUUCCAUUUUGUUCCCCUUCUCCAUUCUCUCCCUUUUUUCUUCCCCCCUCUCCCCUGCCCUUUUCUGUCUCCUCUCCUUUCUCCCCUUCCCUUUUUCUCUCUUCCCCCUCCUCUCCCUCUCCCGCCCCUCCCCCACAUACUGUUUUGCUGUCCUCAGGGUGACGGUGACUUAGGCCAGCCCUGGGGAUGGGUGGGAGAGCAGCUGAGAAUCCAAAGGCAGGAGAGUGCACAAAAAAGAGAUAUGUCGACAAGUGGCUAGGGACCAUGUUCCUGCUUUAGCUACGCACUGUGUCAAGCGCUGAAAGUCACUACACAGGCAGUCAUUAUUAUGAUUUUUACCUUACAAAAAAUGCUUCACCCAGGGCAUGGCAUCUACUUGGUAUUCAGUAGCAGUCAAAUUGGAAAAAGGAGGCUUUCAAAGAGUCAUUAAGACAAACACUGUUUGAAAAUUAUACAGAAAUUCUAUUUAGCUAUUUGAAAAUGAAAGAGUAUUAUACUGUCUUUGUAAAAAUGCUUUUUUUCCAGUUGCUCACUGAUUUUUUUCCCCCCAGUUGCGGUGGCUGAUUAGUGUUUUCGUAGCGUCUCUUCCAGUUCACCGCAGACCUGCUGUUCCGUGGAGUCUGGUGUUGCAAAGCUUGUUGCAAAGCUUGUGCUGAGGAACUGCGAGGGGUCUCUGGGAAUCUCUCUCAGGUUGCCGGGACCAGAGAGCCAUGUGUCUGGCUAAUGUGACCAUCCCUCAACAAGGGUACUGCUCACUGGAUUUCUCUACACAGACUCCCCUCCUGAGGAACUGACUAGGCAUGAAAGAUCUCCCCCAAGAAUUGUUUAGUGACAGCUUAAGCUAGGCUAGCCUCUCUGCCUCACUAAGCUCAGCUGAGGUCAGAGUGGUGGGGUGUGACGCCCGCAACUCCGGGCAGUUAACUCACACAAAGGGAAAACUCUCUCCCCACCUUGCCUACCUGCCUCCCUGCCUGUGGGCAAUUUUGCCAAUGUUUUCCAUUAGUCACAAAGGAGAGGGGCAGGUGGGGGCAGGGUGGUCAGUGGGGACAAUCAUUACACAGGAAGAAAACCAAAACCAUAUUACUAUCUAAGGCACUGUGCUAAGUGCUGGCAUUAGGGUUGCAUUUGGUGAAAAUCCACAUAUAACACAGAAAAAUCUAUGAACCAUCUAGAAAUCCUAACUUCUUGACCCUUGAACUCCUUCUUUAAGAAGAUCACUUGUUCAUGGAGGGCUUCCCUGACCCCUGGGCAGGCUCCUUCCCCAUUCUCUUGGCUGCUUCUGCCAGCACUUGGUGUCCUUUGCCUGAGGCUCUCUUUGGCUGCGUGAGUGGGCAGCCCUCCCUAACACCCUCAACUCUGACUGUUAGGAUUCCGUAAGUAAAUGCUCCAGCCUCCUCAUCCUUCAGGAGGGAUGAUCUGAGGUGUGUUCCACACUGUCAACCAGGGGUAUCCUGCAGGACCCAGCCCCAUUUGCCCCAACAAAUGCGGACAAAUGGGUGGGAGCCUACUUAUCAAUACGGCCUCUGACUGCCCCCCUGGCUCUCUCUCCAUGUCCUCAUUGCCCUACUGAUGCUUCCUGGAAUCACCUCCCAAAGAAACUGCUUGCACACAAAACCUUGUAUGCAAGACAUUUGCAAUCUAAAUUAAGUCUCCCUGUUCUUUCUCAGGGCACUCCCCACCCCCAGCUUAAUAGCACUCAUCAUGAUAUGUAAUUAUGCAUUUGUUUGUGUAUCUAUUUGUUUAAUGAGGGCAGAGACAAUGUCUAUUUUGUUCACCACUAAAUCCCUGCACAUCACUCAACCCAGAGCUUAACAUGUGGUAGAUGCUCAACGUAAAUUCUGUUGAAGGAAUGAAUGUAACAUCAUUAGAGCUUUCUAAUCUUUCACCCUUUGGGGUGGUUCAAAAACAUGACCCCAAAGUUUCCUGACACUCCUUCCAAUGAGAAGCGGGGUCCUUCUCUCCUUGAAUCUGGAUACGCUGGUGACAGCUUCAACUAAGAGAAUGAAAGGGCUAGGUCAUAAAAGGCCACACAGCUUCUGCCCUGAAGCCCUGAAUAGCUGUCAUGUAAGAACUCUGACUACCCUCAGCCGGCCAUGCUGAGAGGAGGCCCAAUUAAUAUGAAGGGACAACACAUAGGUGCAGAGAUCCAUAGUCCCAACUGAGCCCAGUCUCCAAGUCAUUUCAGCCUAAGUACCAGAUGUGUGAAUGAAGAAGCUUCUGGAUGAUUCCAGCCCCCAGCUCUUUUCAAGUCUUCUCAACUGAGACCCCAGACAUUGUGGAGCAGAGAGAUCCACAAUGCUUUGGCCCGUCCAAAUUCCUGACUUAUGGAAACUUCGAGCAUAAUAAAACCGUUGUUAAGCUGCUAAAUUUUGGAGUAAUUUGUUAUGCAGAAAUAAUUGGAAGACCUUGAUUGUGAGUUUAUUAAUUCUGCAUUUAUUUGAAAGUCAUUUAUCAAGUUCCUACUAUGUGCCAGGUGAUGGUUACACAGUAGCAAACAAGGGAAAGAUCCCUACCUUCCGGGAACUUACAAUCUAGGGGCUGCUGUUGUAACUGUAUCUUGCAAAAGCCUACAUGUUGCUUUUUAACAAUAAUGAGUAGGUUUUUCUGAAACCACUUCCAGAUGGUGUGGGGGGAGGGGUGCUUCCGGAGUGAGUUGCUAAGGGAAGCUCCAGGGGUAGGUGGAUUAGAUAACACAGACCCAGGGAGCUCUAUUAUUUGCUGGCUGUCAACCACCACUGUCCUGCAAAUCAUCCACAGACUAGCUGCACCCCCACACUAAGGGGGAGAGAUUAGGGAAGCUGGGAGGUGCCAUCCUUGAGGCAGAAGGAGAGGGGAACUGCUCCCCGCAGGCCCUGGAAAAGAGAUGGUGCCUGCCUCUUGGAGGAAGAUGGCAUUGGCUUGUCCAAAGCUGGAGUAGGAGGACUUAAGAAAGCUGAGGCCACUGGCUGGCACUUCAGCUCCCUUAUCUGACUCCGGGAGGCAGGUCUGGAAUCAAAGUUGCCCCUGUGUGUCCAGACGUGCCUCACUCAUGAACAUGAUUUUAUGCCCCUUAUGUUUCUGCUCCUCCUUCAUUCUUUAACAAAGCAAGACAUUUUUAUCUGCCUGUCUCGACUCUGCUAAGGUGAAACAAAGAAAAGGACUCUGUCCUUUGAAGGACUAGUCAUGAAGGGUGUUUUCUCCUAGGGGUGACCUUUGGUAUCAAGGUACAAACUGCAAGAGGAAGGGGAAUUCCAGGAGGAAAGUUUGGGUGUUUAGCGUCUCAUGUCUGCCUGGAGCUUUUCCAUCCUGGAAACCUGCUUUUGUUUAACCCUGGAAGGUUCUGGGGCCUAUACAAGGAAGGGCGGCCAUGUUAGGGACACUGUUCAGUAAAACAGGACCCACCUCUCCCAGCGGCUGGUGAUAGAAGUGGAGUCAAUGCAGACAGGCUGUGAAUUGGGCUGUUUUUGUGUCAGUAUAAAGAAAUACCUGAGAUUGGGGAAUUUAUAAAGAAAAGAGGUUUCAUUGGCUCUUGAUUCUGCAGGUUGUACAGGAAGCAUGGUGCUGGCAUCUGCUUCCGAUGAGGGCCUCAGGGAGCUUACAAUCAUGGUGGAAGACGAAGGGGAGCCAAUGUUUCACAUGUUGAGAGUGAGAGCAAGAGAGAGGGAGGGGAGGCAGCCACACACUUUUAAACAACCAGAUUUUUUUUUUUUUUUAGAUGGAGUCCUGCUCUGUUGCCCAGGCUGGAGUGCAGCAGCGUGAUCUCGGCUCACUGCAACCUCCACCUCCCAGGUUCAAGCGAUUCUCCUGCCUCAGGCUCCUGAGUAGCUGCGAUUACAGGCGCGUGCCACCAUGCCCGGCUAAUUUUUGUAUUUUUAGUAGAGGCAGGGUUUCACCAUGUUGGUCAGGCUAGUCUCGAACUCCUGACAUCGUGAUCCACCCGCCUCGGCCUCCUAAAGUGCUGGGAUUACAGGCGUGAGCCACCCUGCCUGGCCUAAGCAACCACAUCUUGCAUGAACUAACUGAGCGAGAACUCACUUAUCACUGAAGGGAUGGCGCUACACCAUUCACGAGGGGCUAUUCCCAUGAUCCAAUCACCUCCCACCAGGCCCCACCUCCAACAGUGGGGAUCACAUUUCAACAUGAGAUUUGGAGAGGACAAACAUCCAAACGAUAUCAGGCUGAAAACACGGCUGGCACUUGAAACUUUAGAGAAGUCACCUUUUCCCUGGGCUCCUCGCUCUGGUCUCCCUGAGACUGUCACAGCGGCUUCAUAGGUGCUUCGAGUUUCUUUGCCACCCCCUGAUCAGGCCUUCUGUGUUUUGUAGUAGUCGCCUUCCCAGAUUUAUUGAGUAGCUCAGCUGAACCAAGGUCUGAGCAUUCAAUUAGGUCUUGUUAUUCAUCCGUUCACCAAAUAUUUAGUGAGCCAUGUGCCAGGCACAUUUCUAGCUGCUGAUACAGCUGUGAACAAGACAGAUGAAGCCCUUGCCCUUCGUGGAGCUCACAUUUUAAUAAAUAGUUUGGAGGCGGACAAAGAGAAAAUAAACAGAGAAACACGAACCUGGAGCAUUUGGCUCACAACUUAGAGUUGACUCAUCUUCAGUUUGACGUCCCUCCUGCUACGAGUUCCUGGCUAACUGACAUCUCUUCUCCUCAAGCAGAUGCUAACUUUGAGCCCUACCACUGCCUACUCCAGAAUGAGUAUUUGCCUUUCUUUGAAGCCAGAGAAUGAUGUGCUGCAGCACCGGAAACAUCAUUUACUUUCCAAAAUGGGCCGCAUUGUAACCUGAGUGUGUGCCAUUGUUGCUGAUGUGAGAAGGAGCG